rnacentral:rRNA from 1 species
UGCGUAGGCGGCGCAGCAAGUCGGGUGUGAAAUCCCCCAGCUCAACUGGGGAAUUGCGCCCGAAACUGCUGUGCUAGAGGAAUAUAGAGGUGAGCGGAACUUAGGGUGGAGCGGUGAAAUGCGUUGAUAUCCUAAGGAACACCGGUGGCGAAAGCGGCUCACUGGGUAUUCUCUGACGCUGAGGCACGAAAGCUAGGGAGCAACG